GUUGGUUGCUUGGGAACUAGAUGUAGGCACGGGUUGCUGUCGAACUAGUAUAAAUCUUGUGUUUGUCUUCUUCUUCCCUACACUCUUUAAUUUCCGCUGUGUACUUUUAAUUGCCGCUUUACUUUUAGUUGAGUUAUUGUUCUUUACUUUCUUAACUUAGUAGUAAAAGCCUAAUUGAAUCUAGUAACGUUAAGAAGGAUAAUUUUUAAUUAGUCAAGAUACAUUAAUAAUUAAUUCAACCCCCCUUCUUAAUUAUUCCGAGGUCACUUG
rnacentral:lncRNA from 1 species